AUGGAGGAAAAUGGGGUUGAGCAGGAGAUUUUUCGUCCGUCUAAGAAGAAGUCUGAAGUCUGGGCUUAUUUUGGUUUUAUGAAAGAUGCUAACGGACAACUGAUUGAGAAUCACUUGCCUGUUUGCAAAACGUGUAGAAGGAAAGUUUCAGCGAAAGGAGGUAACACAACGAAUUUAAUGGUCCAUCUUCGUGACAAACAUGCACAGCUUUAUAGACAGUUGAAGUCCAAGCAGGACAAAUCAGCAACAUACCAAGACUAUGAAGACCCCAUCCAGCCAGAGCUUGUGUCUGCGACCAACAUAUUCCGGACAAAGAUUCUGUCUCUCAUGGAGUCUUUUAUGGUGAGGACGACAUCAGAAAUCGUCUCCUUAUUUGACGAAAUUUAUAUGGGAGCUGAAAUUAAGUUAAUGCAGAAGAGAAAGGAAGUGGAAGCCCUCACAGAGAGACUGAAGGAGAGCGAGCGAUUGUGUGCUCAGAAUGUGUGUCACAACCUGCCAGACCUCAAAGUGGAGAGAGGACAGGAGCUUUUGGAAAGUGUCCUGUCCUAUGGACAAUCCGUCCCAGAAAAGACAGAGACUGUGGAGGUUUCCCUGGAGUGUGUGGUGCUGAAGGCAGAGGAAUCAAUGACCCCAGAACCAGUGGUGCUGCCAUGUGAGUACCAGCUGGAUUCAAGCAGUGCAACUGACAAUCAGCAGGAGCCCCUGAGCAGAGCUGAGGAGGAGCUGCUGGGUGCUCCAGUUGAAGAAGAAGAGGGAGCUGAGAGCCCGCCCCCUCCUGUAGGGCAGUCACUCCAAAUGGAGCAGGAAACAACACGCUCUGCUGCCACAGCAGGACAAGGAUCCAGCGUGGCUGCACAGGACUCUGCCAGUGUGAGGCAGAAUCAGGUACUCAAUGGUGCUCCAGAGUCAGACCCUCCUGCUGUUCGACGCCGUGGUCGGCCUCCUGGUAGGAAGAACUUCAUCUCCUCUUCAUCACAGCACACAAGUUCUUCUCAGGCCCUGCAAACUGAAGAUGAUGUAAAUGCAAUGGGGCUCACUAAAAAACCUAAAAAAAGAUUGCGGCUUCGAGACUUUCCUACUUGGCAGGAGUUCAAAAAGCAGUGCCUGGUGUCAAGCUCUUCAAAUAUUUCCCCAGAUGACCACUCCUCCGUUGAGCAGGAGCCCCUGAGCAGAGCUGAGGAGGAGCUGCUGGGUGCUCCAUUUGAAGAAGAAGAGGGAGCUGAGAGCCCGCCCCCUCCUGUAGGGCAGUCACUCCAAAUGGAGCAGGAAACAACACGCUCUGCUGCCACAGCAGGACAAGGAUCCAGCGUGGCUGCACAUGACUCUGCCAGUGUGAGGCAGAAUCAGGUACUCAAUGGUGCUCCAGAGUCAGACCCUCCUGCUACUCGACGCCGUGGUCGGUCUGCGGGUUGGAGCUCAGUUUCUUCGUCAGCACCAGGGACAACCUUUCACCUCAGAAGCCGCUUGGCCGCAAUGAGCACCAACAGCAGACCUCACGAGAAUUUAGAGGGGCUGGAUAGCUCUCCACGUGUGGAUGCAUCUACAGAGGAGGCUACAGAUGAUUGUUUGACUUCUGAACCCGAGACUGAAAAUCCCGCUGAUAUGGAUGUGAAAUCCACUGCUGUCAUGAUGCAGACUGAGAACUGUAAAGCCAUUGAGAAUUCAGGAGAUGGGUAUCAACGGAGUGAAGAAGACAUAUCAUUAAAAAGAAGGUCAGCAGUGAAGAGUGAGAAGAUUCAAAGAAAAAAACGAAGAAUGAUGGAUCAAGAGUGCAAACAUGAUGUGAAUGGUGCUCUGUAUCCCUUUGAAAAGAUUCUUCAGAAAAGAACUGCAGCUGAUGGUCAAGAGGAGGUGAGAGUGAAAUGGUGGCCUUGUUCUUCGUGUGGCGCAAAAUGGAGCAACUCCUGGGAGCCAGCCUAGAAGAGGAGGAGGCUGUGUCGCUGAUCUUAUUCAACUUCUUACGUUCUAGUCAUUUGAUUGGCUAAGAGGUAUUCAAAAAGUGCUGAGAUCAUCAGGUAGAUUUGGAUACUGGCACAUUUGAAUGCUUUUGUGUCUCUGCUUUUGUGGAGAACAUAAAAAGGACCAAAACGCAUUAGGUACACUAUAGGUAAAUGUGUAGAAUAGCAGGACUCCUUCAAUUUGAUAACCAUCCCUUGCAACACUUUUUGCAGAUUUUAGAUGGCUUUUGUGGAUGUCUUUAGAACAGACUUAGCUUUUCUAUUUUUCACCAUUGACAACUUGAAAGUAUGUGCAAAUGCCAGGCAUCGAUCCUUGUACAUUUAAUUGCUUUGGGAUGUUUAUGGAUACACUUUGUCACUCCCAUUUUUUUGUGAUAAGUCAGUGGAGACUUGUCAUCUUUCAGCCGAGUUCUGAAUUUACAGUUGAAUUUGUUUUCUACUAACAAGACUGGUUUGCCAUCCUGUUCAUAUAAAAUCAAUAAAACCCUAAUUUUGUAUCA
ensembl:lncRNA